rnacentral:lncRNA from 1 species
UUAACUAGCUUCUCCCUGGAUGUGGGGAGGUUAGAGAAAGCUGCUGCCGAGGUCCAGGUGGUGGGUAUGUGGACCUGAGCAAGAACAGUGCUGGAGAGAUGGGGGUGGGGAUGAGCACAGAAGGGAACCUAUCAUAGAAUCCACAGAAUUGGGUGACCUAAUGUGGAGGCAAAGGGGAGGAGGGAGGGAGAAGUCAAGGAUGGCUCCACAUUCAUGGCUCAGGAGACUGCGCGGAUGGUGAGCUUAGGAGCAAGAAGCAGGGCAUGCUGUGGAAGUUCCCCUCUCUCUCUGCCUCGUGACCGACCCCAGUGCAUCACCUGAGUGACCCUGCGUGGCAUGCAGUGUUCUCCCCGGGGAGCUGGGAGUCUAACAACACUGUCAAACUCCUUUGGGUUUCUCCUUCUUGAUCUGCACCCGGCCUCACCAUACCUCACCCAAAGUGAUAUGCUUAAAACAACCUCUUGGCGAACUGAGGCAGGAAGUAAAGCUCUGACGUAGAAGAAUUGAGCCAGAACGCGGGUCCCAAGACCCUCCCACCAAUUCUGAUGCGAGGUAUGUAAUUUCUCCCUUUAAGAUACACCUAAAACUGUUGCUUCAUUAAGCUUUCUCCAGUUGCCGUCUGAUCGUCUCGGUGAGGAGCCAAACACAUUCUCCAACACAAGUUCCACGAAAUGAGGAUUCAUGCCCAUCCUUUAGGAAAGCCUUUAGCCCGUCCAGCGAGAGCUGUGGAAUUCGACAAGACGUGCUCUCGGGCAGUCCUCCUUUGUUGCUGGUUGAAGUAAUUUCUGCUGCAGGUUUGCACUGCUGCCUCUUUCUUCCAGCUCCUUAGCGGGGUUGAAAGAUGGCGGAGUGCUGUCUCCACAAGGAAUUUUGCUUUUCCUGUAGACUGCCUAGACGUGAUGCCCGUUUCACCGUAGUUGAUGCCUAAGUGACAUUUCAGUGGCCUGUCCAAAUGGACUUUUAAGAAAAAAGUCUUAAUGUCAGUGACAGAUACGUGGACAAAUCAAUUACUAAACACAAUUUCCUUUUUUUUUUUUAAGUGGUCAUGCCCCUUACUUAUUUUUUUAAUAAUCCAUUUGUUAGUGACAAAACAAAUCACACACAUAAAAAUCUUGUUGUUGCUAAUAGCUUGGUUUAUUUCUCUUCUGUCUUUUCUGGAAUAACAUUACACGAAAGGUGAACCCUCACUUAGAAUCUGAGAACUGAUCUGGAAGGGAAGUCAAUGUCAUCUAAUUGGAUUUCUGCCAUCUGAUGUUUGAAUCUACUGAAACUACAGUUCUCAACUUUUUUAAGAAUAAGAAGUCAUUUUUAUGGUCAAGAAAUUUCACAGAUCUCCGCAUAAUAGUAGUUGUGUUUUUGGUCCAUUGACUGAGAAACUACGCUACUACAAAUUCAAUAACUCUUUUAAAUAAAAUUUUAUCUUAC